rnacentral:lncRNA from 1 species
UGCAACAACCAAAACUAUCCAACUGGAUGAUACAACAACAAAACCAGUUACAUAGUUGGGGACUAAUUCCCCUCGAUGCCCACUGCCUCCACUGGUCCUUUGCCUAUCCAGUAUUUGUAGGCAGCAUAAACAGAGGAUACAACCAGGAUGCCGAGGAUCAUGUAGGUAACGAUAGUAGCCACGCUGAUCUGGCUAGGAGCCUUCUUCACUUUGCUUUGUGCCAGCAAGGCCUUUGGCUUAAUCUUUGCCAUCCUACGCUCCUGCUAAUCCCAAGAAACAAAAAAAAAGGGCAGAAUAGUGUGAGCAAAGUGUGCAUAGGAUCAAAAGAAAAAAAGGCUAGGAAGGAUUUUUCUUGGACCUUCGUCAAUCAAAAACAUACUCCUAUCAACAGUAAGUAGGUAAUAGCUACAGGCAUCAUGUUGUCAAAAAAACAUGUUAUUAAGGUGAUUGUUUCUUCAAAGCUAAGAAUACCUGAUUCAUGGUGUAAAAUACAUAAGCAGAGUAUGGUAGUCUGCAAAUAUUAAACAAGUAUAUAACAGAGGCAGCCCCAAGCCAAUGCUAAUACCGGAACACAAAAUAUUAUUAGACUGGCAAAAUAAUGAGGAUCAGAACUUCAGGAUGCAAGCAUGGUAUGUGGCAUGAAGUGGAAAUGCUGGAAACUAUUGCAUCAGGACCAAAUCUCCAGAUGCUGGAAACUAUUCACAAAGUACAAUCUUGUCUGAAGCAAAUAGCAAUUCUGUGAUUCAAAAGAGCAGAUUAAUGAAUGCGAUCAAGCAGAAAAGCUUAAUAUCAUUAUAUUUGUUCAUGGACUACAAAGUUCAGCAAUUCAUGUUCAUAUGCAAACUAUAGGAUGUAUCAUUUACAGUUGAAACUUGAAAGACUUGGUGGACAGGGAAAUACAAGAUAUUCUCAUGGAGUUUCAGAAUUUUAGAUUAUGAAACCAGAAGCAAUGAACCAGUGGCAAACCCACAGCCUGACCCUGAGCAGCCACCCGAUCUCGGCGGCGAAGCACAAAGAGAAAAUUUAUUUGACACAAUGGAGAACAUUGUAUUUUUCUUAAAUAUGUUUUUGCAAAAUGAGAAUAGCCUGGGCUUCUAAAAGUUUCUGGAUCUGCCACUGCAAUGAGCCUACUUGGAAACUCCAUGGCACAACAUAAGUUCAGGUAAGAGUUACUUGUCUUAUCCAUGGAAUAAGGACAAGACUAAUAAAGAAUGACACAAAUAAAAAGGUUCAUGAGUUCAUUUCUCCAACUUCGCAUCCUGACUUAGCUUUGGCACUCCACUAUCAAUUUACUGGCUUUAUACGCAGCAGCAGCAGCCAGCAGGGUAGUCAAACAAGUCAUUACUUUGCUUCCAUCUCCCUCUGAGAAUCUCUUACUGUUUCUUAAAAUAUGGGCAAGGUGUGUUCAUGUUUUGUUGCAUUUAUAUGAUUAUCACUGAAAUAGAAAUUAACCAUAUGAAUAUGAUUUAGGCAUGUUUGAAAUAUUGACAUGAGAAAAAAAUAUAGUAUCAUGGGAGUAUAUGAUUACUGAACCAAAACAAUGAACAUACAUGGAAAACUCCAUGGCAGAACAAAAGUUCCAGGUCAAUGUUGUAUGACAUGGCAUAAGGGGCACUUCAAUAGGGAUAGACAAAUAGAAAAAGGUUCAUGAAUCCAUUUCUACAGCUUUGCAGCCUGACUUGACUUCUGCACACGCCUUUAUCAAUUUACUGGCUUGACAGGAAGCAGCAACUGGCUAAUAAAACAAGUUACUCCUCUCUUUCACCCUCCAAGAAUCUCUCUUAGACUCUUACUACUUAUAAAAGUUAAAAAUAUGACCAGGACAUGUUCAUAAUUUGCUUUAUUGUUGGUUGGUAAUCUGAAAUCUGAACUAAUAUUGAAGUAAAGUAGGAAAAUAUACAGGAAAUCAAAAUGAUUAAGAAAAGAUAAUUCAAUAAGCAAACAGAAAGUUGAAUAAAUUUGAGCACUAGUAUUUACAAUAGUAUUGUAUUUUCUUUUGCUGUGUAUAUGAAAAUGCUAGGUACACCGUACACCAAGCACAAGAAAAAACUAGUUUUUGUUUACAUCAUUAAUAAUGUCCUAAACUAGCGUAAAUAUUCACUUGCCACCUCAGAGUAGGCCUUUGUCAUGGGCAUAAAGAGGGGCGCCGUAGGGCGCAAGUGUCCUAGUUGGGCCUUAAGCCCAUUAGUGUUAAUUAGUGUCUCUCUUAGUUAUUUGUCUAUAGGAAUAGUACCAUAUUGUCUAGGCACAAGAGGUGUUAGUCCUAUGUACCUUUUAUAUUCAGCCCAUGGGGCACAAUGGAAAGGAAGCAAUGAAUUAUGAAGAAACAAUUCUAGUCUCCCUCAUUCUCUUAAGCUCUUGGCAAAGCAUAAGGCCUAGUUAUCUCCCAAACAUCCAUCUAUCAUAACAUCUGGUAUCACGAGUCUGUCGAUCCAUCCACAGCUGCUGCCAAUCCUCCACAUCAAAAAAAAAUCAAUCCAGAUCGCCGGCCGAUCCAUCUUCCACGGCCAUCCACCACCACAGCCCCCAGCCGCCGCGCCUCCAUCUCCAUCAUCCGCCGCCAACAGCAACUAUCUCGUCGAUCCCCUUUGUUUCCAAAAAAAAGAGAUCAGCCGAUCCUAGCAGCCAGCAGCAGCGUCACCUCAACCCUAAACACGCCGCCGCAGCUGCCCCACUACGCGCCGCCACCACCACAGCCCAAUCCCCAACACCAUCUCGCGCAGCCACAACCCCACUUCCAGCCGCUGAGCCAACUCUCCGAUCCCGAUCCAUCUUCCACGGCCAUCCACCACCACAGCCCCCAGCCGCCGCGCCUCCAUCUUCACCCCUCGCCGCCGAUCCAGCAGCUCGACCUCGACCCGUCGACGCCCGUACAUGAUGGAGUUCCCGCAGUUUGAUGGAACCUCUGAUCCGGAGGCCUUCAUCAACCAGUGUGAGCUCUACUUCCGCCGGGAGUGCAUCAUGGUGGAAGAACGGGUAUGGCUAGCUUCUCGCAAUUUGAAAGCUGAUGUCCGCGAGUGGUUCCGCCAAGUCACACAAGAUGAAUACCCGGCAUGGCGUCGCUUCACAGAGCUCCUGCAGCGGCGCUUCAAACCAACUCUGCGCCCCAAUCCGCUCCACCGGCUAUCCCUUGGUGUCGACAACUGCCUGCGCAGCCUUGCGGAGAUGACCGCACAGCUGGAUUGCCUCCGGGUGCGUCUCGAGAAGGAGGACCGUGAACGCCGGGCAGCUGUACGCCUCCAGGCAGCAGCACGGGGACUCCUGGCACGUCGCCGAGCGCAGGCUCUUCGUGCCACAAAAGCAUCGAAGGAGCAAGCAACGGUGCGCCUCCAGGCAGCAGUGCGCGGAAUGCUUGUCCGUCGCAUGGUGCGGCAGAUACGCAUGCUCCUCAGCUCGACGUUGUCGUACGUGUUCAUCCACUCGGACUCGCCGAUACGGCCUGCGGCUCCAAUUGCAGUGGAGGUCUAAGUAUGGGCGUUUCCAGUGCAGCGACCUCGCAUCAGCAUCCAGCAUCAGGCAUCAAAGGCUAUCUCAUUCAUCCUUGUGCCUGCCGUGGUGCUAGACACUUUCAGCAUAAGAGCCAGCUGCUUCACACUCCACUCUUCAGCCUACAUGAAGCCAGCAGAGGCGCUCUUCCCAUGGGAUCCAGGUGGAUAUCCUUGUAUUUUAGUCUUCAAUAAAAAGGGGAAGCCGAGAUGUAAAAGGCUUAACCCUAUUUCGCGUCAGCUCUCCAGCUCGAGGACGAGCUGGGUCUCCAAGGGCGGGGGAGAUGUCAUGGGCAUAAAGAGGGGCGCCGUAGGGCGCAAGUGUCCUUGUUAUCAUAGAUGGAUGUUUGGGAGAUAACUAGGCCUUAUGCUUUGCCAAGAGCUUAAGAGAAUGAGGGAGACUAGAAUUGUUUCUUCAUAAUUCAUUGCUUCCUUUCCAUUGUGCCCCAUGGGCUGAAUAUAAAAGGUACAUAGGACUAACACCUCUUGUGCCUAGACAAUAUGAUACUAUUCCUAUAGACAAAUAACUAAGAGAGACACUAAUUAACACUAAUGGGCUUAAGGCCCAACUAGGACACUUGCGCCCUACGGCGCCCCUCUUUAUGCCCAUGACAGCCUUGCCAUCCUUUCUCCUCAAUUGAUGAAGAACUUUUUUUAUCAUUGGUGGUGCAGAGCUAGCUAGACUCUGAGUGGCCCCACCCAACAAGGAUUAAAUUCCCUAAUCAUUUUAGGUGUAUGGACUCUCUGGAAACACAGGAAUGACUAGUUUUUAAUGAAGUUACACCAAGGCUCCAGAGCCCUAUACCUUGCUGAUGAGGAGUACCAGCUCUGGAGUACGGUAGGCGCUAUGGGGCUGUUUUAUCACAGCCCUAGCCUGGAUAACUAGGUUGUAGGUCUGCUCGCCCCUUUUUCCAUUUUUAAAGGUGUGUAUGUAAUCCCUUUAUUUCUCUCUUAAUGAAAUAUGGUCGCGAAAAAAAACAUGUAAUCCUUUUAUCUGAGGGGGUGUGUGUGUGUUGGAACUCUGUUCUUCUAGUAAUACAAUGAUACACAGCCUCUCCUAGGUGUUCAAGAAAAAAAGAACCUUACAAGCUGAUAUUGAUCAUACAAAAAUUGGAGGGGACACUUCGAUUCGACAUAUAGAUCACCUGCUAACUUACUACAGAAGGUCUGUACCAUAAUUAAGAAAAUCAUAGUGCCUAGUGCCAUUUAGUGAAGGACAACAAAUGGGCUAAGAUUACCUUGUUGUAGACUCAUAUAAAUGACCCAUCAAGCAUGGAUCUGUAGACUCAUAAGGCAUGGGAUCCAACGAACACCCACGGUUUCUUUUUUAGUUUUUUUGGAAAAAGUUUCAUAUCCAGCAGGGACGGACCCAGUAAGGCUGUGUUCGAUUACCUGGAUUGGAACCAGGAACUAUUCCAGCUUUUCAAAACUAUACAAAUUAGUGAACAAUUUCCAACUGGAAUCAUUCCAGUGACUCAAUCCAGAGCAACCGAACAAGCCUUAAAGGGCAUGGGGGUACACAAUAAUUUUGCAAAGAAACUGAAGCUAGUAGGCAUAACACAUGAAUACACUUGGAAUUAGAUCAGAUCCAAAUAGGUUUCGGGAACCCUGUUUCGCACAGCAGGAAGGGAACGAGGGAAGAGGAGCGCGCAUACUUAGUGGUUGCUCGUCGCCGGCGAAGGGCUGUUGAAGGGACCGACGAAAGCGUGGGCACCUGGCCUAGGGCGGCGGCGACGGUCGCCAAGUUGUCCCCACGAGAGAGGGCGCGCUGGCGGGGGUUGAACCGGAGAAGGGAAAGCAGGGGGCAAUACUGGAGAAAAAGUUGGGAUUUUUCAAACUGAAUUUUCGUGUCCAGAUCUCUGUUUUCAAGCUGGCCUGAGUUUGACGGCUUUUUAGUUACUCUCCUCAGUUCCCUCCAUUCCAGUGAGUUGUUGCGAAGGGGCCUGAGUUGUUUUGUUUUUUUUUCUAGAUUUAUUUAUAGGUUUUUAUAUUAUGUAUAUAUCUAGAUAUAGUCCAUGCUUGGUUAAUCAUCUCCGCAAAGGAAUUUAAGAGAACAAGGUGAAUUUUGACGUGUAAGUGAUUUAAUUCCACUUGGUGUUUGUUCGGUUUUGCGAGGAUUGCAGGAUUUAAGGGGAUUGAUGGUUGAUCCUUUACAAGACAAAAUCCUCCAAAUCACCUCCAAUAUCCUUGAAGAGGAGAUUAACCAUACAAGUUUGUUUAUUUGGCUGAUAAGCCACGACAAAAAAUAUUGUUGGCUGAUUUGUUGUGAGAGAAAAAUACUGUUAAAUGAUUGACAAAUUCAGCUGAUAAGCUCAAGCGGCCAAGUUCCCUUAAACACUUCCAUUACUUCUCCAAUCUUCACUAGUGUCAAAUCAACCAAUUUUGAGUUCUCCAAUCCAAAUUUUGAGUACAGCGCAUGGGAGAAUUUUGUGGCCACGCGCGUGCAGCUGGCAGCGUGAUUGAUUCCUCCACCUGAUCUUGUCUCUUGACCAGCGACGACGAGGAGGGAAGUGGCAUGCAUGUUUUUUUUUCCUUCUUUCUCGUCGUCCUGCACGACAAUCGGCAGUAGCAAAAACCAAAAGGUGUUGUCUCAAGAUGAUAGAGUAGCCUAUAAAGUUGGGCUUAAUCUUCCAGCCAACAAGCCAAGUACAGUGUACCGAACCAAGUGUUUUACAUUUGUUUUCUCAAAAUAUACGUAGUCCCACGCAUGAUUUAGUUAACGACGAGGAUUGGCUCUCCCAUCUUAAAAAAAAUUGCAAAAAGAUUCAAUAUUUGGAAAAGGGAAAGUGGUACAGGUCAACUUUGAUCAAUGCCAACCUGAGUAAGGGCCCGUUUGCCAGGGCUUCUCCAGCGACUUCAGGAGCUGUUUGGAGUUGUUUUUUGCCAAAUAGGAUAAAAUAAAAUGGCUCCAUCAAUAAAACCCCUAAAAAUAUGCUCUCACAGAGUUUUGGGGUGCGAUGGAGCCAAAAAUAGUGGCUUCUCCCAGCUCCACCUUAUCCUAAGUGGUGUUCUGUGAGAGCACAUUUUAAGAAAAGAGUUGUUUUGUCAAACGAUUUACCAAAACGGCUCCAGCUCUACUGAUAGAGCUGUUUAUGGAAUUGAUGCCCCGAGAAACAACUUCACUAGUGAAGUAGAGCCAUGCCAAACGAGGCCCGUCUACAACAUUCCUUCUAUCUUUUACACAAGUUGUGAUUAAUAAUUUGGAUAAAAUCAAAAGUGUCUUUAUGGGGUGGCACUAAAUGGAGUAAGUGGCCAUCUUGUGAAAUGGACCAACAUUUGCUAGAGUAAAAAGGCUGGGUAUCAAGGAUCUAUGAAAGUUAAACGUAAGUCUAUUAUGUAAGUGGUUAGUUGUGCUGGUACCAAACUUCUAUAUUUUCCUUACACGGCUGUCAGUAGAAAUGGAAUCGCUUCUCUUAAAAAAAAAGGUAAACAUAAGAAGGAGAGAAAUUAAGAACAAGGUUUCUAAAUAGCCAUACAUAUAGUACGUCUUAGAACUUACUUAGAUCUAUUAACACUAUAAAAUUAGUAGCUACAAAUCAUACUAUUGGAUCCAAAUAUAUCUGCUAAUAAACCUGCUAAUUAUUAGUAAGGGACUACUAACUAUUAGCUCUAUUAGCAGGUUUAGAAUUGCUAAUAGCCGUAAUAGCUGCUGAUAGUGUAGGGAUACCUUUAACUUGCUAUCCAUCCAUUUAUUAGCACGUGAAUUUAAAUGGAUCCUACUAAAAGUAUAGCUAGCUAAAAAAUUAAUAGCAGCUCCAACAAUUAGCUUUUAAGUUAGCUCUAAGAUUUUUCUCGUACUAUUUUAAUAAAAGAGAUUAAGAGCUAGCUCUUGCACAUAUUUCAAGGUGAUGUGAGAAUGUCAUGUAGGGUUAUCCAUGUUAAAAGCUAUGUGCUAAAAGUUAGCACCAUUGUGGGUGUCCUUAGCUAUCCAAUUUUUAGUGCUAAUAGGUUCGAACAGGACCUUAAUUAAGUUGGGAAAGCUAGUGGAAGGAAAAAAACAGAAGAGGAUACCAUGCCAAUUCGCCAAAGCUAAACUAACAUCAUUAUCAUGAUUAGGGAGGAACCUUAUCUGGACACAUAUAUACAAAAGAUCAAAGAGGGCAUCAUUCGGUGGAUUUCGAGAACGUUACUAAAAGAUGAUGUCAGGCACUCAAGCGCCGUGUCGUGGUGUACUUCGAUUUGCCAAAACAUUCGUGUGUUGGAGUGUGCUUAAACACCCAAUGCAAUGCAAAUGCUAAUUUAGGUUUUGUCUAACUCAACUAGAGCUUAUUAAAAAAAUUAACUCUCAACCAUAUCAAGUGUAGUUCAUUAGGGGUGAAUCUAGAGUAAUUUUCUUGGUCCAUUUAUCCUGACCAAAUUUGUAAAUCCCUUAUAUUGAUACACUUCUACAACUCCAAAGUUUAAUUAACCUAUGCCUGCGUGCAUAUACUAGGGAGUUGUUCGCUCCUUGUAAUUUCAGUUUUGGAUUAUUUUGUGGAGUUUAUUCUCUGUUGAGCCGCCGCUUGAGAAACCUUAGAUGGUGAUCCCAUCAGAUUUUUCAUCUUGAAGAUUAUUUUCAGGAUUCUUAUGGAUCUGCGUGGAAUGCGUGAUUAAACUGCUAUGGAUUAAGUGUCACUGCUACUCGAAUUGCAUCUAAUCCAGUUUUUAUAAGCCGAGAACUCCUUAUUUUGUACUGCUACCUAGUUUUGGGAGUGGAAAGAGUUGAGUUUGAGGCCAAGUAUUUGGGAUUGCCAACUCCAAAUGGCCGGGUUCGAAGAGGGCUAUUCCAACCUCUCGAGGAGCGUUUCCACAAAAGAAUGGUUGCAUGGAAGGAAAAAUAUUUAUCUGCAGCAGGAAAGGAGGUGUUGAUCAAAUCGGUGGCUCAGGCUUUGCCAGUUUAUAUUAUGAGUGUUUUUAAACUUCCUCUAACCCUGUGUGGUGAACUCAUGAAGCAGAUUCGUGCUUUCUAGUGGCGAGGUGAAAAGGGUCGAAGGAAGGUGCAAUGGAUCCCAUGGGAAAAAUAGGUGCUGACGAAGGAUUUGGGUGGUAUGGGUUUUAAGGAUCUUCGCCUGAUGAACCAGGCGCUGCUUGCUCGACAGGCCUGGAGACUUGUGGCUUUUCAUGAUAGUCUCUGUGCAAGGGUGUUGAAAGCUAAAUACUACCCCAACAGUAAACUAUUAGACCGGGCUCCGACUGGUGAUGCGUCACAGACAUGGAGAGCUAUUGAAUAUGGUUUGGAGCUGCUAAAAUAGGGCGUCAUUCACUGGAUUGGUAAUGGAUUGAAACUGAUUGGUCCUAUGUGCUCUUGUCGGCCACUGGGUGCAUCACCUCAUCGAUGACAGUGGAAACAGCUAUUCAGAGGUAUUUUUUCCCUUGUGAUGUUGUUGAAAUUUUUAAGAUCAAGUUGCGUGUUCAAGAGACUCCAGAUUUUGUGGCCUAGCAUUAUGAGAAGACGGGUUAUUUCUCUGUUCGUAGUGCUAACAGGCUAGCUGUCCGGAAUUUCUAUGGGGUUGGUAAUAUUGGGAGUAGUUCCAGUGCUGGAUGGAAGAAAUUGUGGCAGGUAGAUGUGCCAUCCAAAGUCAGCAUUUUUGCUAUGAAGGUUGUUAACAAUGGUUUGCCUACUCGUGUUAAUAAGAAAUACCGCCACCUUAAGCAGCAAGAUGUAUGUCAGAUAUGUGGGCAAUAUGCUGAAGAUGUUUACCAUGCCUUGGUGGCUUGUCCACAUGCUUUGACCCUACGACAGGCUAUGAGGGAGCACUGGGUGUUACCGUCAAAGCAGGUUUAGCCAAGGCUGAUCCAGAAUGGUUGAUGAUGCUGAUUCACAAUAAUACUCGAGAGGUAUUGGCAAAUGUUUUCAUGCUCUUUUGGCAUACUUGGAGUAUGCGAAAUAAGGUGAUCCAUGAGGAUAUCUUUCCUUUUAUUGCCAGCUCAGUCACCUUUCUAACCAGGUAUAUGACAUCUCUGAAUAAUAUCCGACAACAGCCUGAUCACAUGGAUUCCAAAGGAAAAUGUUGUGCAGAGUUUGUGGCUAGUAAUACUCAGAGGCAAACAAAUUCAGAGGAGGAAGUGUUGGGUGUUACCACCAUAGGGUUCCUUCAAGAUUAAUGUUGAUGCUACUUUUAAUCAGUUGUCUGGUGAUGCUAUAGUGGGGAUUGUGAUCCGAGAUUGACAGGGUCCUUAAAACUUACUGUCUGGCGCUUUUUAUCUUAUUGCAGGGAUGCUGAGGAGGCCGAGGAGAUAGGUUGAGAUGGCCAGAAACUCCGAUGAUCUUGGAAUCUGAUUGUCAAAUGGUGGUUGCCAAAUUUCACAGCAAGGGUUGUGAUCGUUCUGCCCUGUGGAAUGUCUUCAUGAUGAUGCAUGACACCGAUAGUCAGUUAUGCAAAUUAGAGGUUGUUAAGAUUAGUAGGGAUCAGAAUAAUUUGGCGCAUGAGUUGGCACGUUUUGCUUCUAGGUCUAGGUGGUGUCAGUGUUUUUUUGCUUAUUUUCUAGACUGGGUUGUGUCCCUCUCUUGUAAGGAUGUUACUUAAUUCUUAAUAAAGUUUGUUCUUUCGCAAAAAAAAGGAUUGGUUCGUUGAUCAGAUUUUAGGCCAUACUACAGUAUUGUGGCAUCUUAAUUAAUUAUUACCUAAGUACCCAUUAAUCUGAUAUGUCGUUGCUGUGAGGUUGCUGCUGCUGUCACUAGUUGAAUAUUUUAAUCUAAACUCUGUUUAGAGGGAGAUCACGAGUAUAUGUCCUAUUUACGUGUUGAAUUUGGCAAUUGACGUAUAUUGUUGCUACCUGGUUCCUUUGGUGACUUGCUCUUGUCUGUGAUUGGUCAGGCCAACGCUGAUGCACUAAACACUGCCGAUAGCAAAUAUAUUUGUUACCUGCUGAUUUCCUGAGCUGAGAGAAGAAAUUAUUUUCUGUUCGCUGAUUGAUAAAUUGAAAGAUUUCUAAUAUAUUUGCAUGUAUCAUGAAAGAUUGAUAAAUUGAAAGAUUUCUAAUAUAUUUGCAUGUAUCAUGAAAGAUUGAUAAACUAAAAGAUUUCUAAUAUAUUUGCAUGUAUCAUGAAAGAUUGAUAAACUAAAAGAUUUCUAAUAUAUUUGCAUGUAUCAUGAAAGAUGGCAAAAUUAUUUUAGGUAUAGUAGGCGUGUCUUCGUCAUGUCAUUUACAAACAGAAUGAUGUUCCAAAUUGAUUCGGCUUUAGUGGACUUCUCUAAUUGAGAGAUAAGAUGAUGAGCCAAUUGCCCUAUAGUUGUGUUGGUUGGAGCACAUACAAGAACUCUAGGUUUCUUAGCUCGUCAGAAGGAAAUACAGGAUUACUGAAAAAACUGUGAUUAUCGGUGUCGGGUGGGCUCUAAACCAAUCGUACGAACUAGAAGAGUGCUCAGUUGCUGAAAUAUAGCUUGCUAUUAUAUUACACUGGAUGAAUUAAGUCCAAACUGGACAGUGGCAGCCUCAAAAUUACUUGCUUUAUUUUCUACAUCAGGCUGCAACAUAUAUUAAAAAAAAACACUAUCAACGCAAAAAAAGCAAAACAAUAGAUAGAGAAAGAGAGAGAUGCCAAUACUACUUACAUCAUUAUUACUUUUAGUCAAUAUGAAAUUGAUUAUUCUAGACCUAUCUUUGAAACCUCUCACCAUUUGUUGCCAAAUACAUUCAUCAAUACUUAGAUUAGCUAGGUGCAUGAUCUGGUACAACCUUUCCUGACUCAUGCUGCACUCACGCGGCGAUUCUGAUACCAAGUCAUCCAUCCAUACUAUAUAACAAUCCUCAAAUUCACACACAUCCUAAUCAUUAACCCGCGUAACCACUAGGAUGGUGCAAAAGGAACUGUUGUUGAGGAUUUCAUCUAGACUCUCAUAAUAGCAUGAGAUUGUGCUUGACAAAUUCUUCCCCUUUGGUAGAGAAAGCUUGACACGGUAUUCAUUUGGCCAGCUUUGUUUGAGUGUAUGGGGUGAAGCUACAUAUGUACUUGUGGGCGCAUAUGACCCCUCAAAAUACAUAUUAAAUAAUAAAGUCUAAAAUUUUCUUAUAUAUGCACCUUCUAUGGCCGAAGUCUAUGCACUUACAAGAAAGCUGCACCCUCUUUAAUUUACUCUCACUUUGCACCAACACAGGCAUACAUCAAUAUUUGGUUUUGAACAAAAGUUGAUAUGACACAUACCAUAGGUACAGGAUCGCAAAAACAUUAUUCUUCCAACAAAAGUUAUGUUUCUUUUAUGUUUCUUUUACUCAACAGAGCCUCCGCCUCAGUAGUAGCUUUUAUUGCUCUAUUUCUCCUCCCCCUGCAUAUUAUUUUUUUGUCUCAAGAUGAUUGUAGCCUCUGCAAGAUACCAUCACACAUGUGAGAUGUAUGAAUUUAGAAUGCCAUGGCAUCCAAACCUAGUUGGUAAGGGAGGGGAUGACUUAGAGCUACGCCCUAACCCUACUCAGCACAUUCCCUAUGUUCACGUAGUGGUAAGCGCUUCACUUGGGACGGGUCAUUUUUUAUUAUAUUUUCCCAUAAAUGGUAAAGUAACAAAUAUAUGCCAUGUUGAAUAAAGAAAUUUAGAACAUUAAAAACUAGUUCCUCUGAACCAUAAAAAGAGUAUUCUUGCUUCCUAAGAAAUCAACUAUCUUUAACUUUGACCAAAUCUAUAUAACAAUAUUAUUACUUAUGGUACACAAUUAUUAUCAUUGGAUAGAUCUUUCAAUAUAUUUUCACAAUAAACUUGAUUUGGAUUGUUAAUAUUUUCUACAAAUCUAAUUAAACUCAACAAAAAUAACUAGUAUAAAUCCCAUAGCGACUCUUUUUAUGGAAUGGAGGGAGCAGUAGACCGAUAAAUUCGUGCGUCCUGAGUAACACUAAAGAAAUUCAGCACAUUCAAAACAAGGAAACGGCACUGCAUGUUCCAAGGGUUACAGUAAAAUUGCAGCAACAUACAUUCUACGCAUGUUCCAUCAAACCAUUUACCACUGCACUGCAACAACCAAAACUAUCCAACUGGAUGAUACAACAACAAAACCAGUUACAUAGUUGGGGAUUAAUUCCCCUCGAUGCCCACUGCCUCCACUGGUCCUUUGCCUAUCCAGUAUUUGUAGGCAGCAUAAACAGAGGAUACAACCAGGAUGCCGAGGAUCAUGUAGGUAACGAUAGUAGCCACGCUGAUUUGGCUAGGAGCCUUCUUCACUUUGCUUUGUGCCAGCAAGGCCUUUGGCUUAAUCUUUGCCAUGCUACGCUCCUGCCAAUCCCAAGAAAAAAAAAAGGUAGAAU